GCCGAUUUAGCUCAGUAGUCGGUAGAGCAACUGACUUGUAAUCAGUUGCUCACCAGUUCGAUUCCAGUAGUCGGCACCA
rnacentral:tRNA from 1 species